CCUACGGGCGGCAGCAGUGGGGAAUAUUGGACAAUGGGGGCAACCCUGAUCCAGCCAUGCCGCGUGUGUGAAGAAGGCCCUCGGGUUGUAAAGCACUUUCAGUGAGGAAGAACGCCUGGUGGUUAAUACCCAUCAGGAAAGACAUCACUCACAGAAGAAGCACCGGCUAACUCCGUGCCAGCAGCCGCGGUAAUACGGAGGGUGCGAGCGUUAAUCGGAAUUACAGGGCGUAAAGCGCGCGUAGGUGGCUUGAUAAGCCGGUUGUGAAAGCCCCGGGCUCAACCUGGGAACGGCAUCCGGAACUGUCAAGCUAGAGUGCAGGAGAGGAAGGUAGAAUUCCCGGUGUAGCGGUGAAAUGCGUAGAGAUCGGGAGGAAUACCAGUGGCGAAGGCGGCCUUCUGGACUGACACUGACACUGAGGUGCGAAAGCGUGGGUAGCAAACAGGAUUAGAUACCCGUGUAGUC
rnacentral:rRNA from 1 species